rnacentral:rRNA from 1 species
GUGAGGAAUUUUCCGCAAUGGGCGAAAGCCUGACGGAGCAAUGCCGCGUGAAGGAUGAAGGCCUAUGGGUUGUAAACUUCUUUUCUUAGAGAAGAAUAUUGACGGUAUCUGAGGAAUAAGCAUCGGCUAACUCUGUGCCAGCAGCCGCGGUAAGACAGAGGAUGCAAGCGUUAUCCGGAAUGAUUGGGCGUAAAGCGUCUGUAGGUGGCUUCAAAAGUCUCCUGUCAAAGAUCAGGGCUUAACCCUGGGCCGGCAGGAGAAACACUGAGGCUAGAGUUUGGUAGGGGCAGAGGGAAUUCCCGGUGGAGCGGCGAAAUGCGUAGAGAUCGGGAGGCACACCAAAGGCGAAAGCACUCUGCUGGGCCACAACUGACACUGAGAGGCGAAAGCGAGGGGAGCAAAAGGGAUUAGAAACCCGGGUAGUCC